CAGCAGCAUCAGUUCAGUCGUGUGGGUGACGCCGCCGAGAGAAGUACGAGAGGGCUUUCGACGACACGGCCUUCGAAACUUGAGCACAGACCUUAUAACCAUCGUGUGCCUAUAGAGAAAGAAAGGAAAAAAAAAAUAAAA